AUUGAACGCUGGCGGCAUGCCUUACACAUGCAAGUCGAACGGUAACGGGCCUUCGGGUGCCGACGAGUGGCGAACGGGUGAGUAAUACAUCGGAACGUGCCCGAUCGUGGGGGAUAACGAGGCGAAAGCUUUGCUAAUACCGCAUACGAUCUACGGAUGAAAGCAGGGGACCGCAAGGCCUUGCGCGGACGGAGCGGCCGAUGGCAGAUUAGGUAGUUGGUGGGAUAAAAGCUUACCAAGCCGACGAUCUGUAGCUGGUCUGAGAGGAUGAUCAGCCACACUGGGACUGAGACACGGCCCAGACUCCUACGGGAGGCAGCAGUGGGGAAUUUUGGACAAUGGGCGCAAGCCUGAUCCAGCCAUGCCGCGUGCAGGAUGAAGACCUUCGGGUUGUAAACUGCUUUUGUACGGAACGAAAAGCCUUCUUUUAAUACAGGAGGGUCAUGACGGUACCGGAAGAAUAAGCACCGGCUAACUACGUG
rnacentral:rRNA from 1 species